CUUACUAGGCUAAUCCUCCGCCUUGCAGCACCGGCACACCGGGUUCUAGUCCCGGUCGGGGCACUGGAUUCUGUCCCAGUUGCUCCUCUUCCAGUCCAGCUCUCUGCUGUGGCCCAGGAGUGCAGUGGAGGAUGGUCGAAGUGCUUGGGCCCUGCACCCCAUGGGAGACCAGGAGAAGCACCUGGCUCCUGCCAUCGGAUCAGCGUGGUGCGCCUGCCGCAGCACGCUGGCCGCGGUGGCCAUUGGAGGGUGAACCAACGGUAAAAGGAAGAUCUUUCUCUCUCUCUCUCUCUCUCACUGUCCACUCUGCCUGUCAAAAAAUUUUAAAAAAUAAAUAAAUAAAAGAAGAAAAUACAAGUUUGUAACCUUGUGUCCUCUGUGUACCUCACAUUUGCCAUGGUGGAGUUCUUUUUUUCUUUUAAAGAUUUAUUUAUUUGAAAGUCAGAGUUACACAGAGAGAGGAGAGGCAGAGAGAGAGAGAGAGAGGGAGGGAGAGAGAGAGGUUUUCCAUCCAAUGGUUCACUCCCCAGUUGGCUGCAAUGGCUGCAGCUGUGCCGAUCUGAAGCCAGGAGCCAGGAGCCUCCUCCGGGUCUCCCACGUGGGUGCAGGGGCCCAAGGACUUGGGCCAUCUUCUAUUGCUUUCAAGGCGGAGUUCUGUUGGUGUUUUCUUGACUUGGCCUAACUUUGCUUUCUGAAACUUUAUUGCCUUUAAGCAGUGAAGUGAAAAUAAUUGGUCAAUUUCUGUGCAGGACUGUCACCCCUGAUUCCCCACCCCAUCCCCAUUUCCUUGUGUGGUGCUGAACUGAAGUCGCCCCCUGUGAGUUCAGCAGUAUCUCCUGAGUCAGGACAUCUCGAGGUCUGGGACAGUGCUGGACACUGGGAAGCACUGCCCAUGUCCCAGUGCACUGAGCUGCUGCAGCCACAGACCCAGCGGUUUCUGAUCAGAAACUCCUCAGGGUUCUAGGACCCUGGACUGUGAUUUCAGAAGGCCGGUGUGGUCUGCUUCCGGUGAGGGCCCUCUGCUGCGCCCCAGACUUCUGCUGUCUCCUGGGUCCUCACGUGGUGGGAGAGGGUUAGGGAGCCUCUUGUGUUCUUUUGUAAAGGCCUGAACUCCUUUGUUUAAGGGGUCAGAAUCAUGGACUUCUUUUUCUCCUUUUCUUUUUUUUUUUUUUUUUUUUUUGGCAGGCAGAGUGGACAGUGAGAGAGAGAGACAGAGAGAAAGGUCUUCCUUUGCAGUUGGUUCACCCUCCAAUGGCCGCUGCAGCCGGCGCACCGCACUGAUCCGAUGGCAGGAGCCAGGUGCUUCUCCUGGUCUCUCAUGGGGUGCAGGGCCCAAGCACUUGGGCCAUCCUCCACUGCCCUCCCUGGCCACAGCAGAGAGCUGGCCUGGAAGAGGGGCAACCAGGACAGAAUCCAGAGCCCCGACCGGGACUAGAACCCGGUGUGCCGGCGCCGCAGGCGGAGGAUUAGCCUAGUGAGCUGCGGUGCAGGCUUUCUCCUUUUUCAAACUCUUUCUUAACUCCCCGGUGCCCAGUCUCACUUCUCAGGCGCCUGUCGUCUUUGUCACUGGCUCUGUUUCUGGCGCAUACACUCCUGAUAGGGACACAGCUGAAGCCUUAGAUUUCACUCCUCUGCUCUUCCAUGAAUCCCCGUUUCUCCCGUUUCAGCUGUAGUCUCCAUGAAAGUCGUCGUAACAGCUUUGUGUCUGUCGCUUCCCCUUGGUGAGCUGUGGUCUCUGUCUCAUGACCAUUCUCACAUUUUGCUUGUUUGUUUUCAGCUGAAAACCAAGCUCAUUGUCAUUAUUUCUACCAGUGCCUUCCCAGUGCUAAGGUCAUCAUCAUUGUACCAUUUGUGUCUGCUUCCUCUGUUUAGGAAAAGCAAAAGGGAGGGAGGGAGAUACUUUGAUCUGCUGGUUCCCUCCCUAAAUGCCUACAACAAGCAGGGCUAGGCCAGGCUGAAGCCGGGAGCCAGGAGCUCCAUUUGUGUUUCUCACAUGGAUGGCAGGGGCCCAAGCACUUGAGCUGUCUUUGGCUGCCUUUCAAGACACAUCAGCAGGGAGCUGGAUUGGAAGCAGAGCAUUCAGGACUCAGAACAGAACUCCAAUGUGCGGCUUAACCCACUGUGCCAUCGUGCUGGCCCUUUGUCUUCCUUGUCUUGAACUUGGUCAGAUAAUUCACUGGGUACCGAGGCGCUUUCUGUCAGUUGUCUGUUUUAUCUGGGUCUCGUUUCCCAUUCUGGCUGGUGUCCUCUGACCCAGAUGCGUGCCUCUGAGCAGCCAGUCCCCGCGAGGAACCAGAGCUGUGGAGAUCCUCAGGUCUUGACUUUCACAGAGCAGCCCAUGUGUUCCUGGAGGCGAGAGCUGCCUCUUUGCUUCGUGGCAAUUGGUAUUGGUCUGCAAUGAUCAGAAUGUGGCGUGGUAACCCGGCGAACAGUGAGUCUACCUGGGAGACAGAGAGACUCUGGAUGGUGCCCUUGUCAGACACCGAGCAUCCUGUGUGUCUCGUCACCUGAGCUGGUGGGAAAGAACUGAGGUGGCCUUGGUUUGGAUGGAGUUGCAGGUGGCACACAGCUGGAUGAUCCUCAGACGUCACAACGCGGUCCUGACUCCAGGCUGGACCGUGCACUCUCAGAAUUUCACCCCCUUCUGCUCAUCAGCUCUGCCGUGUGAGAUCAUUGCUUCCAUUUCAAGUCUUUGCAGGUCAUCAGAGACUCCAAACAAGCUUUGAGACGAAGGUAAGAAGGGCUCCACUCUGGCCCCUGGCUAGGUUGCUGAUAGGUUAUUCCAGAUUCACUGGGUCUGCUUUCGCACUGGGGAGGUGAAACCUGCCAAACCUCCUUGAUAACCUGCUGUUGCUGUUUGCCAGUGAACACGUGUACAGACACUGAUGUGAGUUCUCUCUUCAGUGUUGCUGUGCUUCUGGUGCACAGUCCUAGGCACAGAACAUGCAAGGCUCAUGCUUGCACCUGCUCUGGGACUCACACAGAAAGGCACGGAGUGCACAGUUGACCUGGGUCACCACCCCUCCCUCUGGCUGCAACCCUCUCCUCCAACAGCUGCCAAAAGCUUUGCGAGUCUUCCUCGCCCUUGGCCUUGAACGAUCCCAGUUACUUUGCCAGUGACCUCUUAUUGAGGGGCUUCCUGGUUGUGGCCAUCUGGGGAGUUCCCCAGUAGAUGAAAGAUAUCUUUUCUCUCUGCCUCUCCAUUUCUGUGACUCUUA